CAGCAGCCGCGGUAAUACGUAGGUGGCAAGCGUUGUCCGGAAUUAUUGGGCGUAAAGCGCGCGCAGGUGGCUUAAUAAGUCUGAUGUGAAAGCCCACGGCUCAACCGUGGAGGGUCAUUGGAAACUGUUAAACUUGAGUGCAGGAGAGAAAAGUGGAAUUCCUAGUGUAGCGGUGAAAUGCGUAGAGAUUAGGAGGAACACCAGUGGCGAAGGCGGCUUUUUGGCCUGUAACUGACACUGAGGCGCGAAAGCGUGGGGAGCAAACAGGAUUAGAUACCCGUGUAGUCCCUGUCUCUUAUAC
rnacentral:rRNA from 1 species